rnacentral:rRNA from 1 species
UACGUAGGGACCGAGCGUUGUCCGGAAUCAUUGGGCGUAAAGAGCGUGUAGGCGGCUGACCAAGUCCUGCGUGAAAUCUUGCGGCUCAACCGCAAGCGGUCGUGGGAAACUGGUCGGCUAGAGUGCGGGAGAGGAGAGUGGAAUUCCUGGUGUAGCGGUGAAAUGCGCAGAUAUCAGGAAGAACACCCGUGGCGAAGGCGGCUCUCUGGAACGCAACUGACGCUGAGACGCGAAAGCGUGGGGAGCAAACAGG